UCCCUACGGGGUGCACCAGUCGCGAAAACUCCGCAAUACACGAAAGUGUGACGGGGCUAUCCCGAGUGCCAUCCGCUGAGGAUGGCUUUUCCCCAGCUGUAUAAAGCUGGGGGAAUAAGGAGAGGGCAAGCCUGGUGUCAGCCGCCGCGGUAAUACCAGCUCUCCGAGUGGUGGGGAUGUUUAUUGGGCCUAAAGCAUUCGUAGCCUGCUUGGCAAGUCCUCCGUUAAAUCCAGCGAUUCAAUCGUUGGGCUGCGGGGGAUACUGUUCGGCUAGGGGGCGGGAGAGGCCGACGGUAUCCUCGGGGUAGGGGUGAAAUCCUAUAAUCCCGGGAGGACCACCAGUGGCGAAGGCUGUCGGCUAGAACGCGCUCGACGGUGAGGGAUGAAAGCUGGGGGAGCGAACCGGAUUAGAUACCCGGGUAGUCCCAGCUGUAAACGAUGCAGGCUAGGUGUUGGAGCGGCUACGAGCCGCUUCAGUGU
rnacentral:rRNA from 1 species